UACGGGAGGCAGCAGUAGGGAAUCUUCCACAAUGGACGCAAGUCUGAUGGAGCAACGCCGCGUGAGUGAAGAAGGCUUUCCGGGUCGUAAAACUCUGNUGUGGAGAAGAAUGGUCGGCAGAGUAACUNUGUCGGCGUGACG
rnacentral:rRNA from 1 species